AAACUUACCUGGAUGGGUGGUGAUCAGGGCGAUCUAUGGCCGAGGGUGGUGGCCCCCAUUGCACUUGGGAGGCACCACGCUAAGGUCUCCUCAAGCAGGCAGGAGAGCCUACGUCAUAAUUUGUGGUAGUGGGGGCAUGUGUUUGUGCAGCCCCUAC